rnacentral:ncRNA from 2 species
GCUAGAAUUAGCCGCGCCAGCCAACCCGUGGGGUAGGGAACCCGGUGUGAUUCCGGGGCUGACGCGCAGCGGUGUGGGCGAGGACGUGCACAGUGAGCCACUGGACCAAUGUCUGGGAAGGCGUGUACGCCCGGUGACCCCGAGUCCGAAGACCUGCUGGCGCUCUGGGCGAUUA